GGCUCGGUAGCUUAGUUGGUAAAGCGCUCGUCUAGCAUACAAGAGGCCUGGGUUCAAAUCCCAGCCGAGCAC
rfam:Aedes aegypti strain Liverpool supercont1.639 genomic scaffold, whole genome shotgun sequence.